AUUGAACGCUGGCGGCAGGCCUAACACAUGCAAGUCGAGCGGAUGAAGGGAGCUUGCUCCUGGAUUCAGCGGCGGACGGGUGAGUAAUGCCUAGGAAUCUGCCUGGUAGUGGGGGAUAACGUCCGGAAACGGGCGCUAAUACCGCAUACGUCCUGAGGGAGAAAGUGGGGGAUCUUCGGACCUCACGCUAUCAGACGAGCCUAGGUCGGAUUAGCUAGUUGGUAGGGUAAAGGCCUACCAAGGCGACGAUCCGUAACUGGUCUGAGAGGAUGAUCAGUCACACUGGAACUGAGACACGGUCCAGACUCCUACGGGAGGCAGCAGUGGGGAAUAUUGGACAAUGGGCGAAAGCCUGAUCCAGCCAUGCCGCGUGUGUGAAGAAGGUCUUCGGAUUGUAAAGCACUUUAAGUUGGGAGGAAGGGCAGUAAGUUAAUACCUUGCUGUUUUGACGUUACCAACAGAAUAAGCACCGGCUAACUUCGUG
rnacentral:rRNA from 1 species